AUGAUUUCUCUUACUGUAAUCCUACUAGCUAUGGGACUCAUAGCACAAGAAUCAUCCGGAAUUAAAAUUCUGACUCAGUCUCCAACAUCGAAGUCUGUUAAGGCUGGAGAAACUGUGUCUAUCAGCUGCACUGCCAGUGAGAGUGUUGGCGACGCUCUGAACUGGUACUCCCAGAAACCUGGAGAAGCUCCUAAACUCCUGAUCUAUUCUAAAUCAAAUCGUCAGUCUGGUGUUCCAGAUCGUUUCAGUGGGAGUGGGAGUGGGUCUACUUAUACACAGUACACUCUGACCAUCAGCAGAGUCCAGGUGGAAGAUGCUGCAGAUUAUUACUGUCAGCAGAGUGCUGCAUUUCCAUUCACACAGUGUUAGAGCGCCGUACAAAAACCUCCCUCAGCAGGAGAGAAUCAGAGCCCUCAGGAGACUGAUCUGAGAACAGGUGCAGAGCUGCUACAGAUGACUGAACUCAGCUCAUGGUAGCAGCUCUUUCAGAGGAUGUGCACAUGAUCUCAGUCUACCCAGUACAGCAUGUUAAAAUAGAUCUCUCACUUGCUCUAUUUGACUGACAGGUGUCCAGUGUCCAUCCCGUCAGUCAUUUAGAAACAUCUAGCAGAUCCUCCCUCUUUUCCCCUCAUAUCCACAAGUAAGAUGAAUACCCAUCAUACACAAUCUUAACCUUCACCUCCUCUACAAUAG